UGGCUAAGAAAGAGACAAAAGAGCAUCACAAAGAUGCCCCACCUUUCAAGAAGAAGGCCUUGCCAGUUGAAAAACCAGAAGGUGACGAAGAGAAAGAUUCAGAAAUUGAAGGUGAAUCAAGUGAGGAGGAGAUCACUGCAGGCUACACUGACGACAACAAACAGUGGCUGAAACCUCGGCAGCAAGUGAAGAAGAAGGCUCUUCUAGAACCGUCAGAUGAAGAUGACAGUGAUGACGAUGACGAUGAUGACUGAUGAGCUGCUGCCUGUUGAGAAGGCAGCCAAGAAGCUGCAAAAGAAGCAGAAGAUGGACGAUGCACGAGCCGAAGCUGAACUGCAGACAAACAUAUUGGAAACAGAAAAGUAUGUUCUGCCUAGCGGACAGGAGAUUGAGAAGGAGUCUGUUCAGCCAGCCGAUCUGACACUGGUCCAGCAGCGAAUCAAGGAGGUGCUAGUUGUGUUGGGAGACUUUGUGAAUCGCCGAGAAGAAAACAGAAAGCGCAAGGACUACCUCUCUCAACUGAAGAGUGACUUGUGCACAUAUUACAGCUAUAAUGAGUUUCUAAUGGCACUGUUAAUGCAGUUGUUUCCACUCACUGAGCUGGUGGAAUUUCUUGAAGCAAACGAAGCACAGAGGCCAGUCACAAUCCGAACUAACACACUGAAGACCAGGAGAAGGGAUUUGGCACAGGCUCUUAUCAACAGAGGAGUGAACUUGGAUCCUAUAGGAAAGUGGUCAAAAACAGGACUGGUGAUUUAUGAUUCCCAGGUUCCCGUAGGUGCAACCCCAGAAUAUUUGGCAGGCCACUACAUGAUACAGAGUGGUUCCAGUUUUCUGCCUGUAAUGGCUCUGGCUGCUCAGGAGAAUGAACGAGUGCUGGACAUGUGUGCUGCCCCUGGUGGCAAGACACAGUAUAUCGCUGCCCUGAUGAAGAAUACAGGCAUGCUGUUUGCGAACGAUGCUAACAAGGACCGUAGUCGAGCCGUAGUUGGUAAUCUACACAGGAUGGGCGUCACAAAUUGUGUCGUCUCCAAUCUGGAUGGCCGAAAAUUUCCAAAGGUUAUGACUGGAUUUGACCGUGUUCUGCUUGAUGCACCCUGUAGUGGUACUGGGGUCAUUGCUAAGGAUCCAGCUGUAAAAACAAACAAGGAUUGUAAAGACAUACAGAGGUGUGCACACUUGCAGAAAGAGCUGCUCCUAGCUGCCAUUGAUUGCUGUGAUGCUAAGUCAGCAACAGGUGGCUACAUCGUCUACUCAACUUGCUCUAUAACUGUAGAGGAAAAUGAAUGGGUGAUUGAUUAUGCGCUAAAGAAACGAAAUGUGAAACUGGUACCAACUGGUCUAGACUUUGGGCAGACAGGGUUUGCAAGGUACCGUGAACAUCGUUUCCAUCCGAGCCUGAAGCUGACACGACGAUUCUACCCACACACACAUAACCUUGAUGGCUUCUAUGUGGCCAAGUUUAAGAAGAUCACCAAUACCAACCCUAAACCUAAAGCCAAUGAUGAGGAUGAGCAAGAGGAUGCCACGGAGGUGAUCGCUGAGGAAGUAGAGAGCAGCAGUGGAGACGACGCAGAGUCAACGCCAGCAGGAGGGCAGAGUACAGUAAAAAGUAAACUGAAAACAGGGGAGAAGAAAACGAAAGAGAAGAAAAGAUUGGCUACUGCUCAGACUGGAGCCAAAACGAAAGGCAAAAAGAAAGUAACUACUGCACAGGCUGGAGCAACGAGACCUGGCUCUGUACAGGACAGCCGGAAAGCUAAAGUGUUUAAGAAAGGAGGGCGGUUUAAAGGAAAAGCAGGUGCAAAGCCAAAGAAGUUUGGCACCAAAAAGUGAGCAGAAAUGUUCUGGAACCUUCUUCAACGUAUUUACAAUCGUGAGAAAUAAAGGUGCACAGUGUACAGGAAAGAGGAAUGUUUUAAAUUUUCUUAAUAAGCAUUGGCCUGUUACGUAUGGUUCUCGGAAGGGUUGGCAGACUUAUUGUAAUAGCUGAAAGUUUAAAAGGAUGUCAUACAUGUCCUAUCAUCUCACACUUACAGUCAGUAAGGCAUUAUACUGAUUCAGUUACAAAACUGUAACAAAACAUGUAUUUUCAUUUAUUGUUCACUAUAUCGGUAAAUUAAUUUACUUAAUUUGUUGGCAAGAUAGUCAUGAUAGUUUUAACCAGUAAUACAAUUUAUCACCCAAUAUGCAAAUAUGUUGGCAUUUUUGUAAAUGGUACUCAGAUGUAUGUAAUAUUUUAAUAUAAUAUUAUCUGUCAGCCCUGACGAGUUGCUUAUUAUACUUGUGUAUAAAACAAAAUAAAAUUAGAGUAACUGAAA
rnacentral:misc_RNA from 1 species